GCAUCAGUUUGGCGCGGGGGAGAAAGGCUUCGGGAAUGUGGCUCCCCUGGGAGUGUUAUAGCCCGUUGCGCAAUACCCUGCGCUGGACUGAGGUACGCGCAUUCGCAAGGAUGCUGGCGUAAUGGUCAUCAGCGACCCGUCUUGAAACACGGACCAAGGAGUCGUCUUCGUAUGCGAGUGUUCGGGUGUCAAACCCCUACGCGUAAUGAAAGUGAACGCAGGUGAGAGCUUCGGCGCAUCAUCGACCGAUCCUGAUGUUCUCGGAUGGAUUUGAGUAAGAGCAUACGGGGCCGGACCCGAAAGAAGGUGAACUAUGCCUGUAUAGGGUGAAGCCAGAGGAAACUCUGGUGGAGGCUCGCAGCGGUUCUGACGUGCGAAUCGAUCGUCAAAUAUGGGCAUGGGGGCGAAAGACUAAUCGAACCUUCUAGUAGCUGGUUUCCGCCGAAGUUUCCCUCAGGAUAGCAGUGUUGAACUCAGUUUUAUGAGGUAAAGCGAAUGAUUAGGGACUCGGGGGCGCUAUAUUGCCUUCAUCCAUUCUCAAACUUUAAAUAUGUAAGAAGCCCUUGUUACUUGAUUGAACGUGGGCAUUCGAAUGUAUCAACACUAGUGGGCCAUUUUUGGUAAGCAGAACUGGCGAUGCGGGAUGAACCGAACGCGAGGUUAAGGUGCCGGAGUGGACGCUCAUCAGACACCACAAAAGGUGUUAGUACAUCUUGACAGCAGGACGGUGGCCAUGGAAGUCGGAAUCCGCUAAGGACUGUGUAACAACUCACCUGCCGAAUGUACUAGCCCUGAAAAUGGAUGGCGCUCAAGCGUCCCACCCAUACCUCGCCCUCAGGGUAGAAACGAAGCCCUGAGGAGUAGGCGGACGUGGAGGUCAGUGACGAAGCCUAGUCGCGAGCCCGGUCAAGCCUA
rnacentral:rRNA from 1 species